GGUAGCGUGCCCGGAGCCAGUCAACCUCCCGCGGUCCGCCGCGGGAGACCAGGGAACCCGGUGAGAGGCCGGGACUGACGCGCAGCGGUGUGGGUGACGGGCGGGGCACGGUCGCAGACCAGCCACUGGAUCGAGCUGGUCCGGGAAGGCGCCCCGCACCGAUCGAUCCCGAGUCCGAAGACCUGCUGGCCCUCGCGGCAACAG
rnacentral:ncRNA from 2 species